rnacentral:misc_RNA from 1 species
GUUUUUUGAUUAAAACCGUUUGAUGCUCACCCCUAGAUUGGAGUAUUGUCAAGGAUACUGAACCAAUUUUCAUCACUUCAAUUCAUGUUUUCUUGGUUAAGGAAGAACAAGGAACCAUAAUAAUUUUGUUUUUGUUGUCUUUGUGUUAAGUUAUAGUUAGAUUUUAGACAAGGCAAAAAAGAUUUCUUGAUGACUACUCGCUUCUUGUUGAAAUUGCUUAAUUGGUUUUCGUCAUCCAUACUCUUUUUUGAAACAUUUAACCAUAAAUAAAGUGAAGAAAUUUCCCCAAUGGGGAGAUGGGAAGCCACUCAUGAAACUUGUAAUUGUACAUGAAUUGAAUCAAUUUUUUGACUGGGGAGAUAGGAAGCCAUUUGCGCCUGAUACUUGUUGUUAGUUUAACUUAAAUUAUCUAUGUUAUUACAUGUCCAGGUGUUAGGCUUGUCUAUUUUCCAAAUUUUUUUUUAUUGAUUUUCCCACUAAUUUGAUUAAUUGUCAUACCAUUGCCUAAGUAUCCUUAUUCAACACAGUUAUACUAGGGUAAAAUGAUGAGUUGAGAUGUUCAUCAUGUUGAAAAGCAUUUGUCUGCAUACAUGUUAUUGUGUCAAAGAUAUAUGCUUCCUUGUUUGCCUCUUAAUUGUCGUGAAAGCGAUGCGAACUCAUUGGACUUGCUAAAGAACCCACAAAAUAUUUGAAUCGACCCCAAGGAAUGCUCACAAUCAGGUUCUUCUAAUUAAUACUACUUAACCCAAUUUAAACUAUGCGAAAGAGAACCAAGUAGAUAAAUUAAUUAGGAAUUCAAAAGAUUCAAGACCAAAUACCAACUUGUGAUAGAAAACCAAGAAUAUCAGUGUAUUAAUCUUGCAAGCUAAAUCAACUUCUCUCAAUUGAUUUCAAUGUAUGUCAGAAUUGUUGAUUAAUUCCUAAAACGAGAAAAAUACAAGGUUUAUAUAGGUGGCUGUUAAAAGCCUAAGGCGUACAGCAUAUAAAACCCUAGAAACAUCAAAUUAAUUUCAAAAAAACCAAUCAAGGCUGUCCAAAAAUGAGGUGCGAACAUCGCACGUCGAGGAUGUGCGCCUCUCAUAAUUACACAGCCAGAGCGUAUUUCUCUUGGCAAGUAACAAUUCAAGGUGUUACGAAUAUUGCACGCCCACCUCCCAUUAUUACG